CCUACGGGAGGCAGCAGUGAGGAAUAUUGGUCAAUGGGCGUAAGCCUGAACCAGCCAAGUCGCGUGAGGGAUGAAGGUUCUAUGGAUCGUAAACCUCUUUUAUAAGGGAAUAAAGUGUGGUACGUGGCCUCUUUUGUAUGUACCCUAUGAAUAAGGAUUGGCUAACUCCGUGCCAGCAGCCGCGGUAAUACGGAGGCUCCGAGCGUUACCCGGAUUUAUUGGGUUUAAAGGGUGAGUAGGCGGCCUUUUAAGUCAGCUGGGAAAGUCUGUGGCUCAACCAUAGAAUUGCCGUUGAAACUGGGGGGCGUGAGUAUGUGUGAGGCAGGCGGAAUGCGUGGUGUAGCGGUGAAAUGCUUAGAUAUCACGCAGAACCCCGAUUGCGAAGGCAGCCUGCCGAGCCAUGACUGACGCUGAUGCACGAAAGCGUGGGGAUCAAACAGGAUUAGAUACCCUAGUAGUC
rnacentral:rRNA from 1 species